rnacentral:rRNA from 1 species
GACGAACGCUGGCGGCGUGCCUAACACAUGCAAGUCGAACGGAGAUUUUAUUUAUGAAAUCUUAGUGGCGAACGGGUGAGUAACGCGUAGACAACCUGCCUUUUAGAUGGGGACAACACCGCGAAAGUGGUGCUAAUACCGAAUGUGGUAUUUUGGUCGCAUGAUUGAGAUACUAAAGAUGGCCUCUAUUUAUAAGCUAUCACUAAAAGAUGGGUCUGCGUCUGAUUAGCUAGUUGGUGAGGUAAUGGCCCACCAAGGCGACGAUCAGUAGCCGGUCUGAGAGGAUGAACGGCCACACUGGGACUGAGACACGGCCCAGACUCCUACGGGAGGCAGCAGUGGGGAAUCUUCCGCAAUGGACGAAAGUCUGACGGAGCAACGCUGCGUGAGUGAAGAAGGUUUUCGGAUCGUAAAACUCUGUUUUCAGGGACGAAUGUGCGAUGUGUAAAUAAUGCAUUGUAAUGACGGUACCUGAGUAGAAAGCCACGGCUAACUACGUGCCAGCAGCAGCCGCGG